AGAGCGAACGCUGGCGGCAGGCCUAAUACAUGCAAGUCGAACGGACCCUUCGGGGUUAGUGGCGGACGGGUGAGUAACACGUGGGAACGUGCCCUUUGGUUCGGAACAACUCAGGGAAACUUGAGCUAAUACCGAAUGUGCCCUUUGGGGGAAAGAUUUAUCGCCAUUGGAGCGGCCCGCGUCUGAUUAGCUAGUUGGUGAGGUAAAGGCUCACCAAGGCGACGAUCAGUAGCUGGUCUGAGAGGAUGAUCAGCCACACUGGGACUGAGACACGGCCCAGACUCCUACGGGAGGCAGCAGUAGGGAAUCUUGCGCAAUGGGCGAAAGCCUGACGCAGCCAUGCCGCGUGAAUGAUGAAGGUCUUAGGAUUGUAAAAUUCUUUCAGCGGGGACGAUAAUGACGGUACCCGCAGAAGAACGCCCGGCUAACUUCGUGCCAGCAGCCGC
rnacentral:rRNA from 1 species